rnacentral:rRNA from 1 species
UACGUAGGGUGCGAGCGUUGUCCGGAAUUAUUGGGCGUAAAGAGCUCGUAGGCGGUCUGUCGCGUCUGCUGUGAAAUCCCGAGGCUCAACCUCGGGCUUGCAGUGGGUACGGGCAGGCUAGAGUGCGGUAGGGGAGAAUGGAACUCCUGGUGUAGCGGUGGAAUGCGCAGAUAUCAGGAAGAACACCGAUGGCGAAGGCAGUUCUCUGGGCCGUAACUGACGCUGAGGAGCGAAAAGCGUGGGGAGCA